AUUAGCCCUAAGAGCUGAAGUGGAGGGCAGGGUGCACCUAGAAUAAUAACCUCAGUGGGGAGAGAAGGAAACGGCUUAGGUUCACCAAGUCCUGCAAACAGUAAUGUAACACCCCGGAGGGCUGUGGGCAUCUCUGCACAGACAUCCUGGUCCACGGAAGAGAGAAGCCCCGGCCAGUUCUAAAUCGUGGAUCUCAUUCCCUGGGGUCACCACUAAUCGCCAGUGUCUCACAGACAGACAGACUUCCUGUAGCCCCUGUGCAGAGCCAGCCUUCUUCCCUGAAGACUGGAAGGGAAGAUAAAAUCGAGCCCUGAAAUACGGAUUAAGUCAGAUGUUGGGAACGUUUAAACAAGUAGAAUAAGAAGAGGACCUACGUGUAAAACACAGCUGGAGAGGCCUGGUGCCUGCUCAGUGACCUGCUUACCACACUGAGUGAUGUGAAUAAUUUAUCUCAUUUCACCCUGCAUUAAGAACCGGGAGGAUUAAUCUUCAGUUCAUUUCAGAACACGUCAACCCCUCCCUGCCUCAGUCUACCAUUUCCUGGGGGGGGCAUCCAGGAAAACCUCUCUACUGUUCUUGUGCUAGACAGUAGUGACUAGCCUAACCCACCAGUCCCUUUCCAGGAAUCCACAAGGAACACAGAGUGACAGCCAGUGUUGCCUAUGUGUGGGGCACCCCCUCGCCUGUAACCUCCAAACCUUCCCAGGCCUGGGCUGACUUCCUCCGAGUCCUUUCCAUCUCUCUCAUCCAUCCCUUUAAUUCUAGGCCAGAUGCACAGUCCAAGCUCAUGCUCUCAUACUGGGCCCUGAGCUCUGACUUUCCCCAUUCUUCCUGGGUGUGGACGGACACAGCCUUCCUCAUCUAGACGACCAGGCCUCCCGAUGCCCAGCACCACCUCUCCACCCCGGCCUCACCUCCCUGCUUAAUCCCACUCAUCUCCUCCGGUACAGUCCAGAUGGCCCACAGUCAGCUCCCCGCCUCCACUUCCCCUUUUACCUUUGCCCUCCCCUCCAAAGGGACUUCUCCCUGCCUUCCUGGUACCCACUGCAGCCAAGAGGCCUGUCACUGGGUGAGCUUGUGACCACACUGAGCUGGAGCCGGAGUUCUGGAGUGGGGACACUAGGACGUCUGUCCCACAGAGAUGUGGGCAGGGUAAACUGGUUGGAAGCGGAGCCUCGGAGACACCCCCAAACUGUGAUGGGAACCCAGCUGGUUCGGCGCAGAGCAAUGAAAAGAGCAAGCUUCUCUAACGGCCUGGCUCACAUUUUCCACACGAUUAAGGAGGCCCUGAUCGCCUGGGGCAGAAGCGUGCUUUUAACCUGGGCUCUCGGGAGGAGGUUUAUGAGGGGUGGGCGGACUUUUCCAAGCCACUCCUUCACAUUUCUGUUGCCCUCAUCCCACUAA